rnacentral:rRNA from 1 species
UGGGGAAUAUUGGACAAUGGGCGAAAGCCUGAUCCAGCCAUGCCGCGUGUGUGAAGAAGGUCUUCGGAUUGUAAAGCACUUUAAGUUGGGAGGAAGGGCAGUAAGCGAAUACCUUGCUGUUUUGACGUUACCGACAGAAUAAGCACCGGCUAACUCUGUGCCAGCAGCCGCGGUAAUACAGAGGGUGCAAGCGUUAAUCGGAAUUACCGGGCGUAAAGCGCGCGUAGGUGGUUCGUUAAGUUGAAUGUGAAAGCCCCGGGCUCAACCUGGGAACUGCAUCCAAAACUGGCGAGCUAGAGUAGGGCAGAGGGUGGUGGAAUUUCCUGUGUAGCGGUGAAAUGCGUAGAUAUAGGAAGGAACACCAGUGGCGAAGGCGACCACCUGGGCUCAUACUGACACUGAGGUGCGAAAGCGUGGGGAGCAAACAGG